UACGUAGGGUGCAGGCGUUAAUCGGAAUUACUGGGCGUAAAGCGUGCGCAGGCGGUCUUUUAAGUCAGAUGUGAAAUCCCCGGGCUUAACCUGGGAACUGCGUUUGAAACUGGAAGGCUAGAGUGUGGCAGAGGGGGGUGGAAUUCCACGUGUAGCAGUGAAAUGCGUAGAUAUGUGGAGGAACACCGAUGGCGAAGGCAGCCCCCUGGGCUAACACUGACGCUCAUGCACGAAAGCGUGGGGAGCGAACAGG
rnacentral:rRNA from 1 species